GAGUCGUCGCUGUAUGCGCCUGGACAUACCCAAGAGGCCAAGACCAAGUAUCUCUUGCUUCGGGAAGCAUCUGUUUACACUUUACACCGACCUCCACUGUUACACCCAAAUGCCCAAAUCGGUGAUCCCAAUAGUACCGAUUCUUCCGUGUCUUCUACUGCCGUAUAAGCGAGAUUGAGAGAGUUUGGUUCGUUGCUUUUGAUCUGUGAAUUUGGAUUUGCUUUCUCUCUUUCUGCUCAUUAUCUCCUCUAAUUUCAGAAAGCUAUAUAACAAGAUCAGGAGUUGCAAUUGCUUUUUGUAGAGUUGUCUCUAUGAACUGAACCUUUCAACGCAGUGCUCAUGUGGAAGCUGAAAGUAUUGAGAAACACCAAUACCAUAUGAAGCUAAUGGAACGCUACAAUGGUGUUGCCAUUCGAGAUGCGGACUGUUGCCAUUCGAGGUGCGGACUGUUGUUUGAUUUAUCUGUAACUAUGUAUACUAAGUUUCAUCUUAAACUGGAAUUUUUGAUACUGUUGCCAUUCGAGAUGCGGACUGUUGCCAUUCGAGUUGCCAUUCGAGACGCGGACUGUUGUUUGAUUCCAGAGUCCCCCUUCUUUCUUAAAGGACGACUUGGACUUUUUGAAUACAUUGAAAAAUGACUUGAAGAAAAUGGACAUAUGGUUAUUGUGAUCGUUGAGGGAGCAGGACAGGGUCUUAUUUCAGAGAGGUUGCAAUCCGUGAACCAGCAAGAUGCUUCAGGAAACAAGCUACUUAAAGAUGUUGGGUUUCUUGGUCUGCAAGAUUUUGAUCACCUGAGCAUGAACUUUCUACAAUUUGUUAUUGUAUUUAUGAAAUGAUGCAGACGAACUUGCUUAGCCUAUUAACUCCCACAAAUUGAUAUGAGGAUGUGCAGUUGCAAUGUUAUAAUUGAUAUAGCAUUUUGUGCA